CAGCCACCAGAAGGUUAUCUACAAUCAUCAUCGUCUCCGUGUGGAAGCAAGAUGAAGACCAGUGUCAUCGUCCUCCUGGCGCUCCUCAGCGUUGUCAUGGUGACAGCCAGACCAAAUGAAGGCCCUGACUCGGGGAGGGAACCACAUCAGGCACCAUCACAGGCAGCACAAGCCAAGAAGUGUGUGGUACCUGUUGAGACCAGAGAUGUUUCGUACGUCCGGUCACCCACACCAGAGUGAGCCACGCACCCUGUCUACGAUUGGACAGUCAGUCAAUCACCCAACGGUGACGUCACCCAAUAAAUUUCAAUAAAGCUGCUGAAAACUCCA